rnacentral:rRNA from 1 species
GAUGAACGCUGGCGGCGUGCCUAAUACAUGCAAGUCGAGCGAACAGACGAGGAGCUUGCUCCUCUGACGUUAGCGGCGGACGGGUGAGUAACACGUGGAUAACCUACCUAUAAGACUGGGAUAACUUCGGGAAACCGGAGCUAAUACCGGAUAACAUGUUGAACCGCAUGGUUCAACAGUGAAAGACGGUCUUGCUGUCACUUAUAGAUGGAUCCGCGCUGCAUUAGCUAGUUGGUAAGGUAACGGCUUACCAAGGCAACGAUGCGUAGCCGACCUGAGAGGGUGAUCGGCCACACUGGAACUGAGACACGGUCCAGACUCCUACGGGAGGCAGCAGUAGGGAAUCUUCCGCAAUGGGCGAAAGCCUGACGGAGCAACGCCGCGUGAGUGAAGAAGGUCUUCGGAUCGUAAAACUCUGUUAUUAGGGAAGAACAAAUGUGUAAGUAACUAUGCACGUCCUGACGGUACCUAAUCAGAAAGCCACGGCUAACUACGUG